rnacentral:rRNA from 1 species
GCGGUAUCCUAACCGUGCAAAGGUAGCGUAAUCACUUGCCCCCUAAAUAGGGGCCCGUAUGAACGGCCAAAUAAGAACAUGCCUGUCUCCUAUGGCAAAUCAAUGAAACUGAACCCCCAGUACAAAAGCUGGGAUACACACACAAGACGAGAAGACCCCGCGGAGCUUAAAACAAUGAUGCUAUCUUAUAAGUCACACCCUAAACAAUAGCAGACGUUUUUGGUUGGGGCAACCACGGAGAAAAACAAAACCUCCAUGAAACAGGGACACUCCCACCCAAGGCCAACACGCCAACGCCAUAAAAUUGACCCAGUACCACACUGAUCACCGAACCAAGUUACCCCGGGGAUAACAGCGCUAUCCUCUCUAAGAGUCCAUAUCACCAAGAGGGUUUACGACCUCGAUGUUGGAUCAGGACACCCCUGUGGUGCAGCCGCUACUAACGGUGCGUUUGUUCAACGCUUAAAGUCCUACGUGAUCU